rnacentral:sRNA from 1 species
UUAGAUUCGGUUAAUGAACUUGUUGUCUAAGGAUAAUUUAUUGAGCAUGUCAAUCACCUGUAAACUAAGGAAACGAAACUACUCAAUUACCCCAUCCUCGGGAAUUCUUUAUCUGAUUGAUUUUAUUGUUUACUCUACUGUUGUUUACUGCAUCUUGUCAUCUGUUGCUUAGUUUCUGCAAUUUUUUCCUGUUACUCGACCUGAUACUCGACCACCCAGUUGUCUGGCAACAGACUGUGCAGUCGAGUGUCUCUGUUUCGUUUACUACCUGUUACUCGACCAACUCACUCGACCACACCUAGUGCUCUGUAACGAGCUGUGUUGGUCGAGUGCUUUUAUUAUUCUGCUUGAAUUUCUGUUUUCUGCAUGUUCACUUAGGACUGCUAGAACACACCAAAACCUGUUAUUGCUUGGCUUGACUUAGUGACUUCUGAUCACAUCUUGAUUGUAAGCAUCACACCCGUUUGGAUUGACAACCUUAAGUACUACAACGACAUGAUAAUGCUUUAGGAUUAAUUGAUCUUAAAAACCUAUUAUCAUCAAUAGAUCUUUAAGUCUUGAAAAUGAUCCAUUUAGAUCUUGUGAGGAUAACGAAGAUUUUCUGGGUCC